rnacentral:rRNA from 1 species
CGCGGCCUAUCAGCUUGUUGGUGGGGUAACGGCCCACCAAGGCACCGACGGGUAGCUGGUCUGAGAGGACGAUCAGCCACACUGGGACUGAGACACGGCCCAGACUCCUACGGGAGGCAGCAGUGGGGAAUAUUGCGCAAUGGGCGAAAGCCUGACGCAGCAACGCCGCGCGGGGGAUGACGGCCUUCGGGUUGUAAACCCCUUUCAGCAGGGACGAAAAUGACGGUACCUGCAGAAGAAGCCCCGGCCAACUACGUGCCAGCAGCCGCGGUAACACGUAGGGGGCGAGCGUUGUCCGGAUUUAUUGGGCGUAAAGAGCUCGUAGGCGGUUGCGUAAGUCGGAUGUGAAAACUCAGGGCUCAACCCGGAGACGCCAUUCGAUACUGCGCUGACUAGAGUCCGGUAGAGGAGCAUGGAAUUCCUGGUGUAGCGGUGAAAUGCGCAGAUAUCAGGAGGAACACCAGCGGCGAAGGCGGUGCUCUGGGCCGGUACUGACGCUGAGGAGCGAAAGCGUGGGUAGCGAACAGGAUUAGAUACCCUGGUAGUCCACGCCGUAAACGUUGGGCACUAGGUGUGGGGCCUACUUAACGGGUUCCGUGCCGUAGCUAACGCAUUAAGUGCCCCGCCUGGGGAGUACGG